GACGAACGCUGGCGGCGUGCUUAACACAUGCAAGUCGAACGGAAAGGCCCUGCUUUUGUUGGGUGCUCGAGUGGCGAACGGGUGAGUAACAAGUGAGUAACCUGCCCUUGACUUUGGGAUAACUUCAGGAAACUGGGGCUCAUACCGUAUAGGAGCUCCUGCUGCAUGGUGGGGGUUGGAAAGGUUCGGCGGUUGGGGAUGGACUCGCGGCUUAUCAGCUUGUUGGUGGGGUAGUGGCUUACCAAGGCUUUGACGGGUAGCCGGCCUGAGAGGGUGACCGGCCACAUUGGGACUGAGAUACGGCCCAGACUCCUACGGGAGGCAGCAGUGGGGAAUAUUGCACAAUGGGCGGAAGCCCGAUGCAGCAACGCCGCGUGCGGGAUGACGGCCUUCGGGUUGUAAACCGCUUUCGCCUGUGACGAAGCGUGAGUGACGGUAAUGGGUAAAGAAGCACCGGCUAACUACGUG
rnacentral:rRNA from 1 species